CCUACGGGCGGCAGCAGUGGGGAAUAUUGCACAAUGGGCGCAAGCCUGAUGCAGCCAUGCCGCGUGUAUGAAGAAGGCCUUCGGGUUGUAAAGUACUUUCAGCGGGGAGGAAGGCGAUAAGGUUAAUAACCUUGUCGAUUGACGUUACCCGCACAAGCAGCCCCGCAUAACUCCGUGCCAGCCGCCGCGGUAAUCCGGAAGUUGCAAGCGUUAAUCGGAAUUACUGGGCGUAAAGCGCACGCAGGCGGUCUUGCAAGUCGGAUGUGAAAUCCCCGGGCUCAACCUGGGAACUGCAUUCGAAACUGGCAGGCUAGAGUCUUGUAGAGGGGGGUAGAAUUCCAGGUGUAGCGGUGAAAUGCGUAGAGAUCUGGAGGAAUACCGGUGGCGAAGGCGGCCCCCUGGACAAAGACUGACGCUCAGGUGCGAAAGCGUGGGGAGCAAACAGGAUUAGAUACCCCGGUAGUC
rnacentral:rRNA from 1 species